AAGCGAUUCGUCAACAACUGGGUGAACGGACAACCACAGGAGAAUAACCCACUGGGUAUGCAAACUGGUUGGGUUUUGGCUUUUUUUAAUGCUAAAAGAGGCGCUGUUUGAUUUUAUCUAUUCCUACAGCGGCCUGUCCUGUCGGAAACUCGCAGCUGCCCCCGGAGCAGCGGCUGCCCGGUCCCUGCGGGCCCCCCGCACCCCGAGCACCGCACGGACGCGGGGGGCUGAGGCAACACAGCGGGGACAAGCAGAGCGCAGGGAGAACGGCGCGAUCUCCGCACAGAGACCCGACGGGGAGGCCCCAAGCGGGGCCCGCUGAGGUGAGGCGAGCCCGGGAGAAGCUCUAGGGCAGACAGCACCUCGGCUUGAGGGAACGCGGGUCCCCCGGCAGGCCCCAGUAGCGGUGCGGUACGGCCCGGCGGAGCGCCUAGGCCGCGGGUGCGGCAGCGGUAGCCGAGCCCGCAGAAGCUUCCCAGAGGGAUCCCUCCCACCCGGGGACUGUCACCACCUCCGCCCGCCAGUUCGGAGGCGCAAGCUCCCGCCCCGGCCGCCCUCAGCCCCGGCCGGGCCGCCGACGCGGGGCUCCGGCUACUCACAGACGCCCAAGCCGGGUUCUUCCUUCCGUUCCCCCUCCCCCCCCUCCCACAGACCCGAAUAUGGCGUCACUGGCGGGGGGAAUCCGCUUCCCUUUCCGGGGCGCCGCCAUUUUCUCUGCCCGCCCCGCCUGUGGCGACCGGCCGUCCCCAGGGCGGGACCGUGGGCGCCGCCUCAGCCCGGCCCUGCGCCUGAGGGGGAGGAUGGGUCUCCUCCUGCCGCCGAGUCCGGCCUCUUGUGAGGACGAAGCUCCGGCGUUGAGGCAGAAUAAUUCUGAGCAGAAAAAAGUCCAUCAAUUGAAGACCUGUACCAGUAAGUUGCUCCAGAAAGUAAUUUCUUUGGUUUCUGUACAGGGAACACUUAGUCCGGUCAGUUUCUGUUUGGAAAGCUCCAUGGACACAAAGUAUUGCAUUAGAAAGAUGGUGGGAAAUAUGAAGAACAGUUCUGUGGAUCAAGAGAAGGGGCAGUGGAGAAAUGACGUGGUCAAUGAACAGGGCGCUAUAGUUGAUUGUUCUGGUGACAUCUGUGAUGGACUGUGGAUCAAUGGCUGCCCUGCUGGUACGUACGUUCAUUAUGCUCUCCAGUUAUUAACAAGUCUUUGACAUAAUACUUUGGUUGUCCCUCUUUUGAUUAAUAUGAUCUGACUAUAGUGU
rnacentral:lncRNA from 1 species